CUGCCACCAUGACAAGCCACAUGUGAAGAUGCCGGUAGGCCACAAGCCACGUGGCAAGGUCAUGACUGACUGGGAUGAAAAGGCAGAAAGAAACAGCCUGGUACAGACUUCUCCUGCAGCACUGGGGGGGGGGAUUCAGAACAGAAAAAUUCGUGUAAACUCCCAGCUGAGGAAAAUUCUGUCAUCUAACUGAGCCUGAGUAGGAACAAGAGGCCCAAAGCUCAGCAGCUUCUCCUCUGCUGUGACCUGAGUUAUCUGC